AGAGUUUGAUCCUGGCUCAGAUUGAACGCUGGCGGCAUGCCUUACACAUGCAAGUCGAACGGCAGCACGGGAGCAAUCCUGGUGGCGAGUGGCGAACGGGUGAGUAAUAUAUCGGAACGUGCCCAGUCGUGGGGGAUAACGCAGCGAAAGCUGUGCUAAUACCGCAUACGAUCUAUGGAUGAAAGCGGGGGACCGUAAGGCCUCGCGCGAUUGGAGCGGCCGAUAUCAGAUUAGCUUGUUGGUGGGGUAAAAGCCCACCAAGGCGACGAUCUGUAGCUGGUCUGAGAGGACGACCAGCCACACUGGAACUGAGACACGGUCCAGACUCCUACGGGAGGCAGCAGUGGGGAAUUUUGGACAAUGGGCGCAAGCCUGAUCCAGCAAUGCCGCGUGCAGGAUGAAGGCCUUCGGGUUGUAAACUGCUUUUGUACGGAACGAAACGGCUCUUUCUAAUAAAGAGGGCUAAUGACGGUACCGUAAGAAUAAGCACCGGCUAACUACGUGCCAGCAGCCGCGGUAAUACGUAGGGUGCGAGCGUUAAUCGGAAUUACUGGGCGUAAAGCGUGCGCAGGCGGUUAUAUAAGACAGAUGUGAAAUCCCCGGGCUCAACCUGGGACCUGCAUUUGUGACUGUAUAGCUAGAGUACGGUAGAGGGGGAUGGAAUUCCGCGUGUAGCAGUGAAAUGCGUAGAUAUGCGGAGGAACACCGAUGGCGAAGUAAUCCCCUGGACCUGUACUGACGCUCAUGCACGAAAGCGUGGGAGCAAACAGGAUUAGAUACCCUGGUAGUCCACGCCCUAAACGAUGUCACUGGUUGUUGGGUCUUCANUGACUCAG
rnacentral:rRNA from 1 species